rnacentral:rRNA from 1 species
CGGCGUAAAGCGUAGUUAAGACACCAAGCAAAUAGGGCCGAAGCUCCUCAAAACAGUUAAAUGUAUUCGAAACCACUAAGCGCAUCCACGAAGGUGACCCUAAUAACUCUGACCCUACGAAAGCUGUAACACAAACUGGGAUUAGAUACCCCACUAUGUACUGCCGUCAAAACUGAUGGUAUCUCACUCAAACCAUCCGCCCGGGGAUUACAAGCCCAAGCUCAAAACCCAAAGGACCUGGCGGUGCUUUAGAUCCCCCUAGAGGAGCCUGUUCUAGAACUGACAACCCCCGGUAAACCUCACCACCCCUUGUCAAACCCGCUUAUAUACCACCGUCGCAAGCUUACCCUUCUGAAGGUUAAAAAGUGAGCCCCAACAGUACUACUGUGAACGUCAGGUCGAGGUGUAGCAUAUGGGGUGGGAAGAAAUGGGCUACAUUCCCUAUCCAAGGGACUACGAACGGCAGCCUGAAAACCUGCACUGAAGAAGGAUUUAGUAGUAAGGAAGGAACAGAGAGCCCUCCUGAAAACGGCCCUAAAGCACGUACAAACCGCCCGUCACUCUCCCCAAGAGACCCUCGUUAAUUCCUAAUACGUAAUAACUCAACAAG